rnacentral:rRNA from 1 species
GCCCGUUCACGGGGGACGCGGGCUGGGUUCAGAACGUCGUGGGACAGUUCGGUCCCUAUCCGUCGCAGGCGUAGGAAAUUUGAGAAGACCUGUCCGUAGUACGAGGGGACCGGGAGGGACGUGCCUCUGGGGUAACAGUGGUUCUGCCAAGUGCAUGGCUGGGUAGCUAGGUACGGAAGGGAUAAGCGCUGAAAGCAUCUAAGCGCGAAGCCAACUUCAAGAUAAGAUUUCCCACCGCAAGGGUAAGACCCCAGAAAGACUAUCUGGUUGCUAGGUCGAAGGUGUAAGUGCAGCAAUGUAUUUAGCUUAUCGAUACUAAUAGGUCGAGGACUUGACCA